AUCAGGAUCCUCAGUAAAAUAUGCAAUACGAACAGUUUUGAGGGAAGAUGUGAAACAAGAUGGUACUCUUCCCAAUGUAUAAUCCUCCAUGUUGUCACGGUGACGUACCUUCUCAAAAUUAAGAAACUCUAGCUUCGGUGUUUUUUCCAGUAGGACCAUGAGAACUCCAAAUAAAAGACCAUAAAAUUCGAAAUUCAGCUCCAAAUGGAUCAUGUUGUAAAAUGUAGGAAGACGGUCCAAGAGAUUUUCAACCAGCGAGAGGCACUUGGCACAAAAAAAACCCAACAAAUUAGUACAGUGAAGGUCUAAUUUCUGGGCGAGCCACGAACAUAAUCAAGGUACAGUUAACAACUCCAGCUUUUCAUAUAGACAAUGCAAAUUAAAUAAGCUAGCAUACCUCGAGUAUAUCAAUUGUAAUCAACAAUCUCUUAACAUUGACAACCCCAGAAAGUAACCCGAGCACUUGAGGGGUUACGUCUACUGCAGAAUAAUUGUCAUGAAAACC